CAACGAGAUGGUUCGUGGGCAAACCCUUAUUCUCAAAUAGGUAUGUACCUUCUUCUUUCUCCUCAUUUUUUCUUGUCCUCCUACCCCAGCCACCGCCGCUACUUCUGCAAACCCCAUGCCCCUCUCUCUCUCUCUAACACUCACACCUUCUCCUUCAUCUCUCCCUCUCACAAUUAAUUUAAGGUUUGUGAUUGGAUUAGAAGUAAAUUAAAAGAAAGGUAUGUAAUUCUCUCUUAAUUAUAAAUUAGUUAGUUAUAAUUUGUUUAAUUGUGAUAUAUAUGCAUGUUCAAAAUUAUGUGCUAUGUGAAACUUUGAGUUUGUGUGUUACGCAAAUUUAAUUUGUGCAGCUUUAGUCUAGAAAUCGUGGUGUAAAAUUUGUUAAAAUUUCAUAACCAUUUAUACGAAAUUAAUUAUGUUGAUUAACUUCUUAUAAUAAAUUCAAAAAAAACUUAGACCCGAUUGAGAUUCAGUUGGAUGCGCGUGUAGACGUAGUAUGCGACUCUGUGAUUUAACUGAUUCUUAAAUUGUCCAGUUCGGACAGUUUGGGAAUGCACUAGUAUGUGUUUAGGAUUUGCGGUGAACGUGGCUAAGUUUCAUCAUGAAAAAUUCAGUUGUAUCACCAGAAUGUUCUUCGAGUGCAUACUAGAUAUUUGUUUGUAAUAUUUACGUCGUGCACUUGGAAACCUAGGGAGAGGCUAUCGAAUUUUUUACUAUAAGAAAUAGUCAUGUGAAUUGCAAACUGCAACACAGAAAGUGCACUUUGAAAUGAGAUAUGAUUAUUACUUGAGGCAUAAAGUGGUGAUGAAGCGUAUCAAAUUAUUAUGAUGACUAAAUUCUCUGAAAACAAACACAAUGGACAAAGAGUGGAUCAAGUUGCAAGAUAGAAGUUGUGACCAAUAUUUGGAUGUGAUCAACAACUUUAUUCAAUUUGCAAGCAAACAUAUCAGUGCUUAGAGUCGUAUGAGGUGUCAUUGCAUGAAAUGUAACAACUAUGUUUGGAUGACACUGGAUGAAGUUCGAUAUCACUUGUAUAUGAAUAUGAUAGUAUACAACUACUCCAAUUAGACUUAUCUUUGAGAAUCACUCAUUAUAGCAUCAACAUCUUUCGGCAGUGAGACAGUUAGGCAUGAACCCUCUUCAUCUGGCCAUGUUGAUGGUGACCAAGUGAUGGACAUAUUGAAUGAUGUUUUCCUUAAUGCUUCACUCAAUAUAGACAAAGAGUCAUCCACAGAUCCCGAGAGUUAGGAUAAAUUGCUCAAGGAAACUCAACGAGAAUGUACUUUGGUUUUGAAGGUUUUUCGUAAUAACAACCGUUCUAGAGUUUAUGCA